UUUGCUAUUUCUGUAGCAAUGGUACACGACUGGAGUUAUUGCUCUGAGCAAACCUGUGGGAAUCAGAAAAACAGAAACUUCCACAGGCACUGAAGGGUUUGAUCUGCAGCCUUGGAAGAAGCUUGGAUUGAGGCAGAAUGGAGCAGCUUUGCCAGGCUGUGUCCUCACAGCACCUGCAGUCAGAAAUGCUCACGCUCACCUGGGUGAAAGCCAGCACUUUCUUGACUCCUGCACUCCAAAAACUGAUAUUGUGUGUUGUCCUGUCCUGCUGUACAAGGGGGAGCCAGGGAGGAUUCUUCAUCAGACAUUUCUCAGGUAAAAA